AAGGACGAUACGAUGACGCUGGCGGCAGGCUUACACAUGCAAGUGCAGCGGGGAAAUGUAGCUUGCUACAUUACCUAGCGGCGGAGCGGUGAGUAAUGCUUAGGAAUCUGCCUAUUAGUGGGGGACAACAUUCCGAAAGGAAUCGUAAUACCGCAUACGUCCUACGGGAGAAAGCAGGGGACCUUCGGGCCUUGCGCUAAUAGAUGAGCCUAAGUCGGAUUAGCUAGUUGGUGGGGUAAAGGCCUACCAAGGCGACGAUCUGUAGGCGGUCUGAGAGGAUGAUCCGCCACACUGGGACUGAGACACGGCCCAGACUCCUACGGGAGGCAGCAGUGGGGAAUAUUGGACAAUGGGGGGAACCCUGAUCCAGCCAUGCGCCGUGUGUGAAGAAGGCCUUUUGGUUGUAAACGACUUUAACGGAGGAGGAGCGUACUAGUAUUAAUACUACUGGAUAGUGGACGUUACUCGCAGAAUAAGCACCGGCUAACUCUGUGCCAGCAGCCGCGGUAAUACAGAGGGUGCGAGCGUUAAUGCGAUUUACUGGGCGUAAAGCGUGCGUAGGCGCGUGAUUAAGUCGGAUGUGAAAUCCCUGACGUUAACUUAGGAAUUGCAUUGCAUACUGGUCAGCUAGAGUAUGGGAGAGGAUGGUAGAAUUCCAGGUGUAGCGGUGAAAUGCGUAGAGAUCUGGAGGAAUACGCAUGGGCAAGGCAGCCAUCUGGCCUAAUACUGACGCUGAGGUACGAAAGCAUGGGGAGCAAACAGGAUUAGAUACCCUGGUAGUCCAUGCGCUAAACGAUGUCUACUAGCCGUUGGGGCCUUUGAGGCUUUAGUGGCGCAGCUAACGCGAUAAGUAGACCGCCUGGGGAGUACGGUCCGAAGACUAAAACUCAAAUGAAUUGACGGGCGGCCGCACAAGGCGUGGACGAUGUGGUUUAAUUCGAUGCAACCGGAAGAACCUUACCUGGUCUUGACAUAGUAAG
rnacentral:rRNA from 1 species